AACGAACGCUGGCGGCAGGCUUAACACAUGCAAGUCGAACGAAGGCUUCGGCCUUAGUGGCGCACGGGUGAGUAACACGUGGGAAUAUACCUCUUGGUGGGGGAUAACGUCGGGAAACUGACGCUAAUACCGCAUACGCCCUUCGGGGGAAAGAUUUAUCGCCGAGAGAUUAGCCCGCGUCCGAUUAGCUAGUUGGUGAGGUAACGGCUCACCAAGGCGACGAUCGGUAGCUGGUCUGAGAGGAUGAUCAGCCACACUGGGACUGAGACACGGCACAGACGCCUACGGGAGGCAGCAGGGGGGAAUAUUGGACAAUGGGGGCAACCCUGAUCCAGCCAUGCCGCGUGAGUGAUGAAGGCCUUAGGGUUGUAAAGCUCUUUCACCCACGACGAUGAUGACGGUAGUGGGAGAAGAAGCCCCGGCUAACUUCGUGCCAGCCGCCGCCGUAA
rnacentral:rRNA from 1 species